UCUACGGGAGGCAGCAGUGGGGAAUAUUGCACAAUGGGGGAAACCCUGAUGCAGCGACGCUGCGUGAGUGAAGAAGCGCCUAGGCGCGUAAAGCUCUGUCAGCAGGAACGAUAAUGACGGUACCUGAAGAAGAAGCCACGGCUAAAUACGUGCCAUCAGCCGCGGUAAUACGUAGGGGGCAAGCGUUAUCCGGAUUUACUGGGUGUAAAGGGAGCGUAGACGGCGGGGCAAGUCUGGAGUGAACGGCCGGGGCCCAACCCCGGGACCGCGCAGGAAACUGCCCGGCUGGAGGGCGGGAGAGGUAAGCGGAAUUCCUAGUGUAGCGGUGAAAUGCGUAGAUAUUAGGAGGAAGCCCAGCG
rnacentral:rRNA from 1 species